rnacentral:miRNA from 1 species
ACGACCUUAUUUUGUCUUCAA